AAGUUUACAACAAUAAUGCUUGUUAUUCUAACAUGUAAAACUAUGGGAGUUAAAAUUCAUUUAAUUUGAUCAUGGUCAAGUGAGGCUGUUAUAUAUGUGCUACUGAUUUAACAGGACGUGCAGUUUUAGAAGAGUUUAAAGUUGUGAUAAGAAGUAAAUUGUUUAAAACUUAUUGUGAAGGUAUUCUUCCAUUCCAAACACCAGGAA
rnacentral:lncRNA from 1 species